rnacentral:rRNA from 1 species
CCCGCUGAACUUAAGCAUAUCAAUAAGCGGAGGAAAAGAAACCAACAGGGAUUGCCUCAGUAACGGCGAGUGAAGCGGCAACAGCUCAAAUUUGAAAUCUGGCUUCUCGGAGCCCGAGUUGUAAUUUGUAGAGGAUGUUUCGGGUACCGCUCCGGCUUAAUUUUCUUGGAACAGAAUGUCACAGAGGGUGAGAAUCCCGUCUGGAGCCGCGGUAGGGCCUAUGUGUAACUCCUUCGACGAGUCGAGUUGUUUGGGAAUGCAGCUCAAAAUGGGUGGUAAAUUUCAUCUAAAGCUAAAUAUUGGCCAGGGACCGAUAGCGCACAAGUAGAGUGAUCGAAAGAUGAAAAGCACUUUGAAAAGAGAGUUAAACAGUAUGUGAAAUUGUUGAAAGGGAAGCGCUGGCAACCAGACUUGCGUGUAGGGGUUCCCCCUCGCUUCUGCGUGGGUUACUCCCCUAUAUCCAGGCCAACAUCGGUUUUGGCGGUCGGUCAAAGGCCUUGGGAAUGUACCUUCCCCCGGGAAGACUUAUAGCCCAGGGUGUCAUGCGGCCUGCCGGGACCGAGGAACGCGCUUCGGCUCGGAUGUUGGCGUAAUGGUUGUCAGCGACCCGUCUUGAAACACGG